CGAGGACGGGGAGGACGCGCCGCGGCCGGGCAGGGUGGAGACCGGCACCCAGACAGGUGGCGACGGCAGAGGAGCGGAAUUCUCCACGAGUUUUGAGCAGCCUCGGUUUUCCUACCACCUCCAAAUCAUGGAAGACACAGGGUGCAGGCAGAGCCCCCGGGGCCAUGGCCAGCCCUUCCGGCAGCUCCGAAGCCCCUGGCAAGCCCCGAGGCAGGGAUGGCCGGCCCAGGAGGGAGGAGGACGACGUCCCUCCCGAAGAGAAGAGGCUGCGGCUCUUGCUGGAGGGGGGAAGCGCACAGCCCCAGGACUGCGAGGACGGGCAGGACGCGCCGCGGUCGGCCAGGAAGGAGACCGGCACCCAGACAGGUGGCGACGGCAGAGGAUUUCUAUGGGAAUACUCUCUUUGAAGAACCCAUGAAGCAGUGUCAGGCUGGUACGAGGAUCAGCAGUGAUUUCUUUGAGGAGGAGAUCCGUUUCUUCACUCACAGGUCAUGUCUGAGUGGAUCAAGAAGAACAGAGGGCCCUUUUAUGAGAUUUUGUCUGCGUAGACCAUUAGCUUGGUAAAAAUGUCAAAACCAUCCUCAUUCUUUAAUAGCAGAUUAUUUUGGACUUUUCUCUGCAAGAAGCAGCAUGGGCAUUCAGAUGCGUUUAAGGAUAAAAUGUUCUUUCUCAUCACCAGGCCUGGUGCUCUGGAUGGCUGAGGUUUUAAUGUGACUUGGUGUUCCUUGGAGUGGCUCCCAGGCUGUGAUCUUGUGGUCGGGUGGCAAGGGGUUGCUUUAUUCGGUGAUGGCUAGAGGAUGUUUUAGCAGGUAAAUCGGGAUCUCAGGAGCCCCUGAGUGCCAAGUCCUGCUGCAGGGCAUGUGUUUAUGGUGGGGAUGUGGGGGCGUGGAGGGUGGGGGGUAUUGAUUUCCUGCCAAUAUCAGAAGUUUCACAGGCUUCUUGUGUAUCCACAAACACCCACCCCAUUGAGAAGGCCUAGAAAACCUGGCCCUCCCCAAGCCUUUAUUGACCACUUGUGAAUGAUCCCAGGGUGUGUCUGACCCACAGCUCCUCCUGGAGGGAGAGAAAAGUGUCUCCUAGGUACUUGGUUAUCAACCUCAACCACUUGCUGAGCCUUCCCCAAGACCAGGCAUCUUGGCAGAGAUUUCUGGGUUGUCAGGCAGAACCGAGCAUUCGAGGGUAAUAACUCACUGGAGUCCCUGAAAUCCCUGAUGGACACACCAGGUAAAAGCAUCCAGGGUUGAAACCAGAUCAGGAAGGUUGUUGUCAGCCUGGGGCUCCUGUAGAGGUGCAUCCACGUUGCAGGGAUUUUCCUUCUUGCUGAGGAGAAACCUGGUUUCUCAGCUUUGCCACAGUCACAACACUUGGGGUGAGACCAUUCAUGGUGGUGGUGGGGGCAUCCUGUGUAUUGUAGGAUGGCUAGCACCAUCCCUGGUCUCCAUCCUCUAGGUGCCAUUCUAUCCUCCCAGCUGUGGCUACCCCAGAUGUCUCCAGAUGGUCUCAAAUGCUGUGGGGCAAGGGAGUGCUGGACUACACAGGCUGAAGCUCUCUCUGCCGAGAUAUAGAUAUUUCCCUGGUGACGAUCUUUCAAGCUGACAUGAAGACAUGGCCACCCACUGGAACGUCGUGUGUCUGCCGUGGCGCUCUUGUAAUUUGUGAGGCAGGCUCCUGAGGAAUGCAGUGCAACUCAAGAGACAGGAAGGAAAUGAGUUGAAGGCUGGGACAGGGGUCCCUGCCAGGGAUGCUGGUGACUCACAUGACGGUGUUGAUGUGUGGAGUCCGGUGCCUGGUUUGGGGAGUGUUCAUGGGAUAUGUUCCAAAGGACUGACGGACCUAUCAGGCACAGUGGCUCACACCUGUAAUCCCAGCACUUUGGCAGGUCGAGGCUGGUGGAUCACCUAAGGUCAGGAGUUCGAGACCAGCCUGGCCAACAUGGCGGAACUGUCUCUACUGAAAAUACAGAAAUUAGCCAGGUGUGAUGGCACACACCUGUAAUCACAGCUGCUUGGGAGGCUGAGGCAGGAGAAUCAUUUGAACCUGGGAGACAGAGGUUGCAGUCAGCCGAGAUCGCACCAAUGCACUUCAGCCAGCCUGGGUGACAGAGUGAGACCCUGUUUCAAAAAUAAAUAAAUAAAUAAAAUAGAAUUCUGAAUUUUA
ensembl:lncRNA LINC00937 long intergenic non-protein coding RNA 937